rnacentral:lncRNA from 1 species
AUUCCGCGCUGCUCCCACAGGUCUGCGGCGUCCGAGUCUGGGACUGGCAGGUGCGGUGCUGGGGACGUCCUGAGGUUGAGGGAGAAUCCUGCGGAGAUGAAGAGCUUCCCGGCCUGACAGUUUUGCCCCCACCUCCUUCUUGAGCUUAAGGAUUUAUACGCAGGGCCCCGUUUGCCUGCUGUGUCCCCAGUGUCCAGGACAGCGCCCGGUACCAAAGGUGCUGGUAAACAUUUGUCGAAUGAGUCGCUGAACGCCCAGCUAUUUCCACUGUCACAGCGAUCAUGUGUGGCGGACAUUAUGUGGCAUGUAUCUUACAGAGGAGGCAGCCCGGGCUCAGGGAGACGAGGCAGAGGUGCACGCAGGUCUAUGUGGGCUGGAAAGUGCUGGGGCCUCCCGGGCGCUCCUGGUCUCCAGGCAAGAACUGGAAGCAGAGCCACUCAACACCUAGAAGGGCAGUGACAGAAAGCUCUGGCUGGGAGGAGGCUGACCAGAGGCCAGUCUGAGCUCAGCCUUUUUUUUCAGAGGGACGUGGGCACCCUAGAAGGGUGGUAAGUAGGCGAGUGGCAGAGUUAAAAGGUCUCUGGCUGCCGAGGCGGGUGGCGACGGGGCCGGCCGUUGCUGUUGUUUGGCUGAGUGGUGGACAGGGUCAAAGCCAUUCCAAGGUCGACUUGACAGGGCUUGGUAAUGUGGGAGGGAGGGAGAAAGAAGCAAGGGGCUAAUGGCCGGGGUGAUACCACUGGCAGAGAUGUGGAAGAGUGGGAGAAGCUAGCUUGGAAGGUUAACUUUGAUUUUGAACACCUUGUGUUUGAGAAUCCUGACAAACCUUAGACCCCCUGAAUUUUCUCUCAGGGAUUCUGAUUCUUAGCAGCCUGAUUGCAGAGGAGGAAAAAUGGCUGGGGUUGAGCCAGACAGUUCUGGGCAAGGAGUGAGCAUUCGCUUGUUUAUUGAGGAGGCUG